UGUGGGUAAAUCAACCAGCUUAACUGGUUGAAUUCUGCAGAGACUGCCAGACUAGGGACCGGGAGAGGUGUGGGGUACUCUAGGGGUAGGGGUAAAAUCCUGUCAUCCUUAGAGGACCACCAGUUGCGAAGGCGCCACACUAGAACGGAUCCGACGGUCAGGGACGAAGCCUAGGGGCACGAACCGGAUUAGAUACCCGGGUAGUCCUAGGUGUAAACGCUGUGAACUUGGUGUCGGGAGUCCGCAAUGGGCCCCCGGUGCCGGAGUGAAGAUGUUAAGUUCACUGCCUGGGGAGUACGGUCGCAAGGCUGAGACUUAAAGGAAUUGGCGGGGGAGCACUGCAACGGGAGGAGCGUGCGGUUUAAUUGGAUUCAACGCCGGAAAACUCACCAGGGCCGACUGUUAGAUGAAGACCAGCGUAAUGAGCUUGUCGGAUUUUCAGAGAGGUGGUGCAUGGCCGUCGUCAGUUCGUACUGUAAAGCGUUCUGUUAAGUCAGAU
rnacentral:rRNA from 1 species